rnacentral:ncRNA from 1 species
CACCUCACCUCGGGGUGUCGGUUGGUGAACCGUCUGAGAUGUCCGUACCGCGGACGAACCCGUUGAACCUGAACCGGUUAAAACCGGCGGAGGGAAGGGUGCGGGCCGCUACG